AGACCCGAAACCCGGUGAUCUAGCCAUGGGCAGGUUGAAGGUUGGGUAACACUAACUGGAGGACCGAACCGACUAAUGUUGAAAAAUUAGCGGAUGACCUGUGGCUGGGGGUGAAAGGCCAAUCAAACCGGGAGAUAGCUGGUUCUCCCCGAAAGCUAUUUAGGUAGCGCCUCGUGAAUUCAUCUCCGGGGGUAGAGCACUGUUUCGGCUAGGGGGCCAUCCCGGCUUACCAACCCGAUGCAAACUGCGAAUACCGGAGAAUGUUAUCACGGGAGACACACGGCGGGUGCUAACGUCCGUCGUGAAGAGGGAAACAACCCAGACCGCCAGCUAAGGUCCCAAAGUCAUGGUUAAGUGGGAAACGAUGUGGGAAGGCCCAGACAGCCAGGAUGUUGGCUUAGAAGCAGCCAUCAUUUAAAGAAAGCGUAAUAGCUCACUGGUCGAGUCGGCCUGCGCGGAAGAUGUAACGGGGCUAAACCAUGCACCGAAGCUGCGGCAGCGACGCUUAUGCGUUGUUGGGUAGGGGAGCGUUCUGUAAGCCUGUGAAGGUGGCCUGUGAGGGUUGCUGGAGGUAUCAGAAGUGCGAAUGCUGACAUAAGUAACGAUAAAGCGGGUGAAAAGCCCGCUCGCCGGAAGACCAAGGGUUCCUGUCCAACGUUAAUCGGGGCAGGGUGAGUCGACCCCUAAGGCGAGGCCGAAAGGCGUAGUCGAUGGGAAACAGGUUAAUAUUCCUGUACUUGGUGUUACUGCGAAGGGGGGACGGAGAAGGCUAUGUUGGCCGGGCGACGGUUGUCCCGGUUUAAGCGUGUAGGUGUGUGUUCCAGGUAAAUCCGGUUCACUUUAACACUGAGGCGUGAUGACGAGGCACUACGGUGCUGAAGCAACAAAUGCCCUGCUUCCAGGAAAAGCCUCUAAGCAUCAGGUAACAUCAAAUCGUACCCCAAACCGACACAGGUGGUCAGGUAGAGAAUACCAAGGCGCUUGAGAG
rnacentral:rRNA from 1 species